GAACGCUGAAGGAGGAGCUUGCUCUUUCCGGAUGAGUUGCGAACGGGUGAGUAACGCGUAGGUAACCUGCCUGGUAGCGGGGGAUAACUAUUGGAAACGAUAGCUAAUACCGCAUAACAGUAGAUAUUGCAUGAUAUCUGCUUGAAAGGUGCAAUUGCAUCACUACCAGAUGGACCUGCGUUGUAUUAGCUAGUUGGUGAGGUAACGGCUCACCAAGGCGACGAUACAUAGCCGACCUGAGAGGGUGAUCGGCCACACUGGGACUGAGACACGGCCCAGACUCCUACGGGAGGCAGCAGUAGGGAAUCUUCGGCAAUGGACGGAAGUCUGACCGAGCAACGCCGCGUGAGUGAAGAAGGUUUUCGGAUCGUAAAGCUCUGUUGUAAGAGAAGAACGAGUGUGAGAGUGGAAAGUUCACACUGUGACGGUAUCUUACCAGAAAGGGACGGCUAACUACGUGCCAGCAGCCGCGGUAAUACGUAGGUCCCGAGCGUUAUCCGGAUUUAUUGGGCGUAAAGCGAGCGCAGGCGGUUAGAUAAGUCUGAAGUUAAAGGCUGUGGCUUAACCAUAGUACGCUUUGGAAACUGUUUAACUUGAGUGCAAGAGGGGAGAGUGGAAUUCCAUGUGUAGCGGUGAAAUGCGUAGAUAUAUGGAGGAACACCGGUGGCGAAAGC
rnacentral:rRNA from 1 species